AAGAAAGAAAACCCAUCUCCUCCUCACGCACGGUUCCUUCCCCAGAAUUCUUCCUACUGCCUUCAACGAGUCGCGCCUCCCUCGCUACCUCCCGACCGCCAUGCCUCCCUCCACUGCCUCCCUUCGCCGCACGAGCUAGACUCGCCGCGCCCCUGCCGCUCUAGCCUUUUGACCACCCGCCAUCGUGCCGAUCUCGCCCUGACCGCCGCUCCGUCCACCAAGGACCGAAGCCGAACGACGACCCAACCCAGCCGUCACGCCUCUCGCUGCCGGUUCACUCCCCAAUGUCUGCCAUGUCGUUCUUCGAUGGGCCAACGACCUUCUUCAUCUAAGGGACUGCCCAUCUCCUGCUACCUUCGAUUGCUACUGGUUCUGUGGUUGGGUAAGUUGUUUAACGUAUCGGUUAAUUGUAGUGUCAUUUACUUGAUUUUUUGGUUGGAUGCUAGGAUUGGAGUUUGAAGGAAAUUUCGUGCGCUGUCCAUCGACUGUUGAAGUUUCUUUUGCGGAGAUUUUUGAUUGGAACUUUUGCUUGGGAGUGGUGGGACUACCUUUGAAACCAAGCCACAUUUUUGGGUUGAUUCAAGCCUUCCAAAGGCCGUGAGAAGAUUAGUUGUGUGGACUAGAAUUUGCGACCAAUUUUUGAAGUAAGGGUAGAGAUGUACCGGCGAUGGCAUAGCAGAAUUCAUGAUCGAGCCACUGGGACUAUUUUUUUUUUUUUUUACACUUCCGCAUUAUGAGAUUUAGAGUUCUUUUCAUGUUUCCCUUAAU